AAAAUACACCCUUUGUCAGGAAAUAUUUGUCAUCAAAAUGAAUAAAAAAAUAUGUAUCUAGACGUAUUUUAAUUUUAGAUAUAUCAUUUUUUAUCUAUUUUGAUGACAAGUAUUUUUAGACGAAAAGAGUACUAC
rnacentral:pre_miRNA from 1 species